CUUGGGGAGGGGGUCCAGCUGGAUCCACCCCCGCCGCCAUUUUGAGAAGGUCAGGCGAUGGCCCUCACUGUAACCUGAAGGAGGAGGAGGCCCACGCUUGGUGCUGCUGUUGGCCUUGGCAGUGGCCCGCAGCCAGGAGGACUCCCAGUUCCUCCUCUCGUGGAGCGGGGUCUUUCGCUCCUGCAUCUUCCUGAUAGUACGUCUGGGGGACACAACUCUCCCGAGUGAAGCCUGGCCCAGCAGCCUCCUGAGGCCAUGUGUGCCUGUCGGUGGGGAGCUGGGUCCCAGCGGACCUACCUCAGCAGCUCAAGGGAACGGGGCAGGACAGUUACUCUGCAUUUCCACAAGCACUGAUUUAUUCAAAGGGGUGCAGCAAAAAAGGGCUGCCCCUAGAUAAUUAUCCACCAAACCCCUGCAGCCCUCGGCCUACCCAAGUACCACCUCCUCCAAAGCCCCAGAAAAUAACAUGGGUUUUCAACGUGAGGCCAGGCGAGGGCCAACGCCUAGGGAAAUGGCUGCGGCUAGAAGAAAACUCUUCUUCCUCUCUACCCUGUGUGGGAGCGCUGCAAAGUGAGCAUCUUCAUGCAAUGGGCCUGAACACAUUUCACCAACACAAGUGAAGUAAGCCACAGGAGUACAAGCCCUGUAAGAAACGGAAUAAAGAGGGAGACCAUAACUGCCUAUUCCUAAAUGAGUCAGAACAGUAGCAGAGACCAUCAUUUGUCACCAAAAGAAAAUAUACCAUUCAACACUCAUAAACCUCAGUAUGCUGCCUGCUCACAAGAACAAAGCAGGCAAGUUACCUGCUAAUACUCCAUUUAAAAUACAAGUAAGCCACACUAUUAUACCUGCCUUUCCAAUUUACUUGGAUGCGGGUUUCUUCUAUAUGCUUGAAAGAGACUACAGGUCACAACUCUGUCCUGACAAACUCUAGCAGACUACUCUGCUAGAGACAAAGUA